GGGAAGAACCUCUGGAACACUUCUAUGGCUUUUACUGUUUUAACUGUCACAUGUCAAUCAAACGUUAGCCAAUAGGACACGUAUUUAUUUUUGACUGAUGAUGAUUUGGGCGUGUUCAACCGAACAUUUGAGCGAUGGAAAUUGCGACAGAAUGUGUCAAUUUCAAAACAAAAAAUUAAAAUUAGCGAGUCUUUAUAGUAAAAUAAACCGAAUAAUAUUAUAUGGCCACAUGGCAUUAGACCGUACACCUGUUAAAAGUGUUACAAAAAAGCGGAGACGAGAAUUGUCGAG